CCUGCCCACAGAUUCUGCUGUCCAGCUGCUCCCUGUGCCGUGCCUGUGAUUCACUGGUGUACGAUGAGGAAAUCAUGGCUGGCUGGGCACCUGAUGACUCUAACCUCAACACAACCUGCCCCUUCUGCGCCUGCCCCUUUGUGCCCCUGCUCAGUGUCCAGACCCUUGAUUCCCGGCCCAGUGUCCCCAGCCCCAAGUCUGCUGGUGCCAGUGGCAGCAAAGAUGCUCCUGUCCCUGGAGGUCCUGGCCCUGUGCUCAGCGACCGCAGGCUCUGCCUUGCUCUGGAUGAGCCCCAGCUCUGCAACGGGCACAUGGGGGUAAGGGCUGGGCCAAAGGGGCAUGAGGAAUGGGAAUGUUGCUGUGUGGGGCCUAUGGAGUGCCAGGGAGAGAUGGGCACAUCUCUUGCCCUUGAGGGCAAGGGGCAUCCCAGAAGCUGUUGGAUGUGGUGGCUCAGUGGGAGGCAAGGCUCUGGGGAUGUACAUGCCCUCUACUGCCCUCCUGCUUUGUGCCUGAUAGGGAGCCUCCCGACGGGUUGAGAGUGGGGCAUGGGCAUACCUGAGCCCCCUGGUGCUGCGUAAGGAGCUGGAGUCGCUGGUAGAGAAUGAGGGCAGUGAGGUGCUGGCGUUGCCUGAACUGCCCUCUGCCCACCCCAUCAUCUUCUGGAACCUUUUGUGGUAUUUCCAACGGCUACGCCUGCCCAGUAUUCUACCAGGCCUGGUGCUGGCCUCCUGUGAUGGGCCUUCGCACCCCCAGGUCAGUGCCCCCAUGUGGCCCCUGUUUC
rnacentral:sRNA from 1 species